AGCUGAACAAAUCUCAUCAUCUAUGUCACAAAUGCUAGAAUUACAAGGAGGAAAAUAGCUUAUCAAAGAAAUAUUUGGCAAUUUAUCAUGAAAACAGGAUUCUUUGAAAUACCAGCUUCUAAUGAUUUAUGCAAGACACUUAACUUACUUGGAAAGGAGAAAAGCUCCUAAAAGCUCUCCCUAGGUUUACCAUGAAUGGAAUAUCGGUAUUUGUUUUUUGCUGGCUAAAGAAACUGUGAAGAUGCUGAUUAAGCUGCUGAUUUCUUUCAUCAGUUCUUCUCUGUCUGGUGUUCUCUAGCAAAAAUAAGAAAAAAGGUGAACUACCAGUGUAGUUAUAAUUUUUGAGCUUGCCAUCUUUUCAUAAAUGUAUUAAAACAUUACUUGUAAUUUAUAUUGUAUAUAUAAUAUAAACGAAUCUAAAAAAAUUCUAGAGAAAUAUACUUCUAGUAUGUUUCUCCUUAAUUGUAAAUAGCAGAAUUAUUUGCAAAUCAUGUAAUUUAAUUUAAUUCAUGUAAUUUUGUAUAGUAUAUUAAUGUGAAAUAAAAUGAUUACCGUAAAAAAA